rnacentral:rRNA from 1 species
ACGAACGCUGGCGGCGUGCUUAACACAUGCAAGUCGAGCGGAAAGGCCCUUCGGGGUACUCGAGCGGCGAACGGGUGAGUAACACGUGAGUAACCUGCCCUGGACUUUGGGAUAACCCUCGGAAACGGGGGCUAAUACCGGAUACGACUUUCCUCCGCAUGGUGGUUUGUGGAAUGUUUUUCGGUCUGGGAUGGACUCGCGGCCUAUCAGCUUGUUGGUGGGGUAAUGGCCUACCAAGGCGACGACGGGUAGCCG